rnacentral:rRNA from 1 species
UACGGAGGAUGCAAGCGUUAUCCGGAAUGAUUGGGCGUAAAGCGUCCGCAGGUGGCAGUUCAAGUCUGCUGUCAAAGACCGGGGCUUAACUUCGGAAAGGCAGUGGAAACUGAACAGCUAGAGUAUGGUAGGGGCAGAGGGAAUUCCUGGUGUAGCGGUGAAAUGCGUAGAGAUCAGGAAGAACAUCGGUGGCGAAGGCGCUCUGCUGGACCAUAACUGACACGCAGGGACGAAAGCUAGGGGAGCGAAUGGG